rnacentral:lncRNA from 1 species
AUUUAAUCACUUUUAGUAAGAGUAUUUAUCAUUUGUCAUUUGCCAGAAUGAAGCAAUGACAGAGUACCUCAAGGCAUGUUUUCACCAAAGCAGUGAAAACAGGUGCUCAAAUACAGCUACACAUAUACAGCUUCUGUGAUACCAUCUGCACAAUUACCAGGUGAGCAUUUGAUAUUUUAUUUGCAACCAUCUGUGCCUUUGACAUUCUUCACAGGAAAGUAGAAAGAAG